rnacentral:rRNA from 1 species
UACAGAGGGUGCAAGCGUUGUUCGGAAUUAUUGGGCGUAAAGCGCGUGUAGGCGGCUUUGCAAGUCGGGUGUGAAAGCCCUCAGCUUAACUGAGGAAGUGCGCCCGAAACUGCAUUGCUUGAGUACCGGAGAGGGUGGCGGAAUUCCCCAAGUAGAGGUGAAAUUCGUAGAUAUGGGGAGGAACACCGGUGGCGAAGGCGGCCACCUGGACGGCUACUGACGCUGAGACGCGAAAGCGUGGGGAGCAAACAGG